GAACAUAUGAGCAGCAGAGCAGCGUGGUGUCUAAAACUGAGCUCGUGUGCUCGUACUAUAAAGUCUGUUGAUUCACAGACUUUAUUGAGCAAGUGGGAUCACGGUGUAAUUAUCUGUGAAAAAUCAUUUGACUCCAUGAUGUACGAAUCAAGACUGCAGUAACCUCCCACAUGCUACCCACACAACGCUGAGAUGAUUUUAUGACUGCGCCGCAUCCUCACCGUCCACGCUCGCUGUAUCAAAGUUAACAUCGACAAGAGACACUCUGUUCAAAUUCACUUCAUCGUUUAUGGAUCCGCUUUUGGCCUUUUUGAAUGAGUAAGCAAUGUUAACUGGCAUCCCACCAUCACUCCUGUGAACUCUUUGUCUGGGAACGUGCGGCUGCGCAGAAGCAACUACGGUGAAAUAAACUUAGAAGCACUUUAA